AUGGGAACACCGAUCAGUGAUUUACUGAAGGACUUGCGGGGAAUGAACUGGGAGAUUCAGGAGUGAAACUGGUUUCUGCGGCUCUGAGGAACCCGGAGUGUAAAAUACAGAAACUGGGGUUGGACAAUGUCGAUCUCACAGUUUCUGGCGCCGAGAAUCUUGCCUCCGCUCUCGGAACAAACCGAUCACUGAUGGAUCUGAACAUGGAUCGUAAUAAACUGGGAGAUUCAGGAGUGAAACUGGUGUCUGUGGCUCUGAGGAACCCGGAGUGUAAAAUACAGAA